AAAAAGGGGUAAAAGUUUACUCUCACCCCAUCAUAACUUUUUACGGGUCAAAAAAUCAACCCACAAAUUUUCAUUUCUCUUUCAUCUCUCGACCUUCAAGCACGACUGAAGCUAGCUAUGCCGGCCGACGAAGCUAGCCAUGGCGGCCGACUGAAGCUUUCUCUCUCUUCCUCUCCUCCUCUCUUUCGAACGAUUUCAUUGAAGAAUUGGAUUUGAAGUUGCUUCCCUAUUUGUAAAUUGCCCCAAAUUGAAGUUAAAUAUAAAGGUUAGCCGUUCUAUUUUGGUUAUUUGAUCUGGUUUUCUUAGAUUUUGAAUCCUUAAUUGAUGUUUGUGAUUAAAUCUAUGAUUAUUUAUUUGAUUUUUAUGAUAAUUUUCAUUUUUUUUUCUAAAUUUAAUUAGGGUUCCUUAGUAGGCGUAAUAUAUGAAAUUGAACGGAAAUUAGUUCAAUUUGUGCGAUUUUAUGAAAUUGAACGAAAAUUAGUUCCAUUAAUUGAUGUUUGUGAUUAGAUCUAUGAUUGGUAUUGAAUAUUGAUUCAUAUUCCAGUCAUAUAUGUCCAGCCUUUGUGUAAAUUUGUUUAUUUGGAUGUAAUUUGGAAUUUGAUGGUUGAUGUGAAAUAUAUGGAUUAAAUAUUGCUAAUUUGCAGUUAAAUUGUUUAUGAAAUAUGUUCAAUUGGUGGUUUGAAGUUUUUUGAGAAAUGUUGCCCUUGGUUGAAUCAAUCUGCUCAAUUUAUGGUGUAAUUUUGGCAAUGAAAUCACAGUUCAAUUUUUUUUUUUCUGAACAGAUUUUGAAUCAUAGAAAAGAUGGACAACAGAUUAUUUCUAUGAAAUCAAAGUUCAAUUAUUUCUAUGUUUCCUUUCUAUGUCCAUAUAGUUUUCAUAGAAAAUUAUAGAAUUAUUGAUUGUAUGUCAUUCUUCUAUGCAUCCAUGGCUCGUAUGCCACCAUCAAAACGUCAAAAUGCUAUUAUUUUACUUAUUUACUUUAUUAGAUUGAGGGAUAUGAUGAUGAUGAUUUUUUUACACAUUAUGUCUAUACUUGAAUUCACUAAAAAUACCACACAAAAAAAAAAUGUUCAUUCUUCCAAACGAACCCUUAUUCAAGGUAUGAAGAAUAUAAAAGAGUUUCUUCGUGAUGAAAUUAGUUGUAUUGACCAAUUAAGAAUGGAUAGAAAUACAUUUUACACAUUAUGUGAUUUGCUUCGUAAUUAUGGGGGUUUAAAAGAAUCAAGAAACAUGUUUGUUGAGGAGAGAGUUGCUAUAUUUUUAAAUAUACUAGGUCAUGACUUAAAACAAAGGUUGAUAGUGAGACGUCUAAGAAGAUCUAAAGAGACCAUCACUAGAAACUUUCGCCAAGUAUUAAGAUGUGUUUUGCGAUUGCACAAAAACUUGUCAAAGACUCUGGAGCCUAUAAAAGAGGAUUGCAAGGAUCAAAGGUGGAAGCGGUUUAAGGGGCUUUAGAUGGAACAUACAUCAAAUUAAGGGUCUUCUGACAUUGACAAGCCUAGAUAUCGGACAAGGAAAGGGGACAUAGCAACAGAUGUUUUAGCUGCUUGUUAUAUAGAUAUGCAAUUAAUAUACUUUUUGCCUGGGUGGGAAGGCUCUGCUGCUGAUUGUAGGGUUCUCAAAGAUGCAAUUAGUAGAAGACAUCCUGUUAAAGUCCCUCGUGGAAAUUAUUAUUUGGUUGAUUCUAGUUACACAAAUGGAGAAGGUUUUCUUGCCCCAUAUAGAGGUCAAAGGUAUCAUCUUAAAGAGUGGAAGGAGGGUUAUCAACCUACUACUCUGGAGUACUUCAACAUGAAACACUCAUGUGCUAGGAACGUAAUUGAGAGAUGUUUUGGAUUACUCAAGAUGCGUUGGGAAAUACUUAGAAAUUGAUAUGCAUCUCUUAUCUAGUAAGUCUCACAAAGAAUCAAAGGGCUUGUAUCGAAAACCAUUCCCAUUGUUUGAUGAUCUUGAGGAAGUAUUUGCAAAAGAUAGAGCUACUGGAGUGAAAGAUGACCAAGUCAUGAAUGUCCAAGACAUCACCCAAGAUGAUGCUACAUCAUCAAAAAAGUCUAUUGAAGUAUCAUCUACAAACCACGAUGAUGUAUUGACUGAAGGGUCUAGUAAGAGGACUAUAGAUGAGGGUUCAUCCAAGAAGCCAACUAUGAAAAAUUUGCGAAUAACCAACAAAGAAAUUCAAAAUUUUCAAAAAAAUUUGGAGUCGAUGAUGGGAAAUAUGUUGGAGAAUAGCAAUGCUCAGAUUGAUAAGUUGGUGAGUAUUCUCGAAGGGCCAAAAAAUAUCAAGGUUGGAUUGCGUGAAGAAUUAUGAAAAGUUCCUGAUAUUUCUACGGCUAAUGCUCUUUCUUUGUGUGUUAAGAUGACUAAAGAUGAGAUAGUGAUACUUCGAGACUUGGUGGAUGAUGACGAGAAAUAUGAUUUUCUAACUAUGAUUUUAAAGAAGUAAUGGUGGUCUUUGGGAGUUAAUUUUGACAUAUGUACUAAUAAUAUUAAUGCUACUUUUUAGUUUAUUGUCUAUUUGAGUAUUUCAAUGUACUUAAGUACUAAUUAUGAAUUUAUUUCUUAAUUAGCUUUUUA